GAUGAACGCUAGCGGGAGGCUUAACACAUGCAAGCCGAGGGAGAAGUUGCUUUCGGACAACGGAGACCGGCGGACGGGCGAGUAACAUGUAUGCAACUUGCCUCUCUUAGUGGGAUAACUAGCGGCAACCAGGACUAAUACCGCAUAACAAAUGGCUCCGCAUUGAUUUAUUUUAAUAGAUUUAUCGGACAGAGAUAGGCAUGCGUAGGAUUAGUUAGUUGGUGAGGUAACGGCUCACCUAGACGAUGAUUCUUAGGGGGCCUGAGAGUGUGAUCCCCCACACGGGGACUGAGACACUGACCAGACUCCUACGGGAGGCAGCAGUGAGGAAGGUAGGACUGUGGAAUAGAGCCUGAUCCAGCCAACCCGCGUGCAGGAAGACGGCCCUAUGGGUUGUAAACUGCUUUUAUACAGGAAUAAACCUACGCGCGUGUGAGUAGUUGAAGGUACUGUAAGAAGAAGCAUCGGCUAACUCCGUG
rnacentral:rRNA from 1 species